rnacentral:piRNA from 1 species
UGGUCCUUGACAGAUGGCUGAGAUCAGAGA